rnacentral:piRNA from 1 species
UCAGGACAUAGAGCUAUAGGUUU